CUCUACGGCCAUACCACCCUGAACACGUCCAAUCUCGUCUGAUCUCCCAAGCUAAGCAGGGUCGGGCCUGGUUAGUACUUGGAUGGGAUUCCGCCGAGGAAUACCAGGUGCUGUAGGGU
rnacentral:rRNA from 1 species